UUAUAACUUUUAUUAAAGAAACCCAACUAGCGAGUAGAAUUUUUAUAUUUAUAAGUUUUUUAUUAUUAUUAUUUAAUUAUUUUCUCCUGUAUGAUGAGAAGCUCAGGGUGGAAGCUGGAGGAGCUGAACACGAAGUGCCAGCUAAAGCUUUGGAUUUGGUCCUAUAGGAUGUUAAAGGUUUUUUUUUUUUUUUUUUGAUGACAUCCCAGUGUGAUCACACCUCAGCCCAGUAGAUGGUGGUAAUGCGCAAUGAUUGCACACUACCAAUAAAAUUUACAGAAGAAGAAGAAGAGCACUUGGUUGGAGAGGCUGGCCCUGGCAUGAGCCUUUUGCGUAGUCGAUCAAAUGCAAGUGACAUUGCGGACAGAGGCUGGAUGGAGGAAGGGAGAAUGUCGUGUCCUACCUGACCAGACCUGGUGGGCUUCUGUCCCGUCUGAUCGACUUUGGUGGUCUUCUGGUCAACCCUGGUGGGCUUCUGUCCGUCUGAUCGACUUUGGUGGUCUUCUGGUCAACCCUGGUGGGCUUCUGUCCCGUCUGAUUGACUGUGGUGGUCCUCUGCUCCGCCCAGGUGGGCAUCUGUCUCCUCUGCUCGGCUGUGGUGAUCCUCUGCCCCGCCCUGGUGGGCUUCUGUCCUGUCUGCUCUUCUGUGUUGGUCCUCUGCUCCACCCUCGUGGGCUUGUGUUUUCUAUGAAGUUAUUUUUGAUUCAAAACAACUGAACACCUGUGGCAGUGCGAUUUGUAGUUGUAGAGAAAAGCCACACAUGUGUAUCAGUAAAUUUGAAGUCACAGAGAGAAAUGUUUUAAGAGUUGCAAACCUGUAGAUUUUUUUCUCUCUCACAAACACAACACAACAGUUAC
rnacentral:lncRNA from 1 species